rnacentral:rRNA from 1 species
GCAUAUCAAUAAGCGGAGGAAAAGAAACCAACAGGGAUUGCCCUAGUAACGGCGAGUGAAGCGGCAACAGCUCAAAUUUGAAAUCUGGCUCUUUCAGGGUCCGAGUUGUAAUUUGCAGAGGGCGCUUUGGCGUUGGCAGCGGUCCAAGUUCUUUGGAACAGGACGUCACAGAGGGUGAGAAUCCCGUACGUGGUCGCUAGCCUUCGCCGUGUAAAGCCCCUUCGACGAGUCGAGUUGUUUGGGAAUGCAGCUCUAAAUGGGAGGUAAAUUUCUUCUAAAGCUAAAUACUGGCCAGAGACCGAUAGCGCACAAGUAGAGUGAUCGAAAGAUGAAAAGCACUUUGGAAAGAGAGUCAAAUAGCACGUGAAAUUGUUGAAAGGGAAGCGCUUGCAGCCAGACUUGCCUGUAGUUGCUUAUCCGGACUUUUGUCCGGUGCACUCUUCUGCGGGCAGGCCAGCAUCAGUUUGGGCGGUUGGAUAAAGGUCUCUGUCAUGUACCUCCUUUCGGGGAGGCCUUAUAGGGGAGACGACAUGCAACCAGCCUGGACUGAGGUCCGCGCAUCUGCUAGGAUGCUGGCGUAAUGGCUGUAAGCGGCCCGUCUUGAAACACGGACCAAGGAGUCUAACAUCUAUGCGAGUGUUUGGGUGUCAAGCCCAGACGCGUAAUGAAAGUGAACGGAGGUGGGAACCCUUUGGGUGCACCAUCGACCGAUCCUGAUGUCUUCGGAUGGAUUUGAGUAAGAGCAUGGCUGUUGGGACCCGAAAGAUGGUGAACUAUGCUUGAAUAGGGUGAAGCCAGAGGAAACUCUGGUGGAGGCUCGCAGCGGUUCUGACGUGCAAAUCGAUCGUCAAAUUUGGGCAUAGGGGCGAAAGACUAAUCGAACUAUCUAGUAGCUGGGUUCCUGCCCGAAGCU